rnacentral:rRNA from 1 species
AUCGAACGCUGGCGGCAGGCCUAACACAUGCAAGUCGAGCGGAGCGGCGGACGGGGGAGUACUGCCUGGGAAUCUGCCUGGGCGUGGGGGAUAACGUCCGGAAGCGGGCGCUAAUACCGCAUGCUAUCAAGUGAGCCUAGGUCGGUGUAGCUAGGUGGUGGGGUCAAGGCCUACCAAGGCGGCGAUCCGUAACUGGUCUGAGGGGAUGAUCAGUCACAGUGAAACUGAGACAGGGCACAGACUCACGGGGGAGGCAGCAGGGGGAAAUAUGGCAAAGGGCGCGAAAGUGUCCGAGAGCCGCGGCGUGUGUGUGAAGAAGGUCUUCGGAGUGUAACGCUCUUGAAGGUGGGAGGCGUUACCAACAGAAUAAGCACCCGAUAACUGUGCGCCAGCAGCCGCGGUUAC